UAAUCAGUAGAAAACGCCUGACUAAUCCACCAGUCAUACAGUCAUCAAAAAGAGAGCUGGCCCAAGCAAGAAAAGGCAGCAGCGCAGUCAUCAACUACAUGCACCAUUUCUUCACCAACUAUGGAGUCGGGAAAACACGUGUGGACCUGAAAUGUGAUAACUUCAGUGGCCAAAACAAGAACAGGUUUGUGCUCUGGUAUUGUGCCUGGUGGAACAUGUGCAAGCUACACCACAAUCUGGACUUUCACUUCCUGAACACAGGCCACACCACGUUUGCCACUGACUUGUGCUUCAACCUCAUCAAGCCGCGCUUCAGACAGACCAGAGUGAACACUUUAUCUGAGAUUGCUGGUGUUGUGAAGGACAGCACUGUGACAGGGGUCAAUAUCCCAGAGCUGGUUGGACUGUAUGGUGCUGGUGGAAAGCAAUGGCUGGCAACAACACCUGACUCCGUACUUCAGGCCGCUGGCACAGAACAAGCAGUACCAGCACUUCAGCUUUGAUGCUCUGGAGCCUGGUGCUGUCUCUAAGUAGCGUUCGGACUGUCGGGACCAGGAUUCAGCUGUUGCGCAAUGCUGACAUCCUUCCUUCCAUAGAUGGUCUGCCAGUAAAAGCGCCACCUGGACUGGACACAGCUAGACAACAUAUUUUUGACAAGAUCAGGGAGAUUUGCGACAAAGAGGCUAUGGACAUCACAUGCCCUGCACCAAAGUCAAGGGCAGGACAGAAACAGGAACUCCAAAUAUAAAUUCCUUAGUUCAUGCGUGAUUUGGAUGGUCCAGUCAUAUGUUGCUGCAAUUUUUUUGUGUUAUCCUGCUGCUCAGCCACUUUACCCCUGAUUACAUGUACAGUUGAAGUCGGAAGUUUACAAACACUUAGGUUGGAGUCAUUAAAACUCAUUUUUCAACCACUCCACAAAUUUUGUAUUAACAAACUAUAGUCUUGGCAAGUCGGUUAGGACAUGACACAAGUCAUUUUUCCAACAAUUUUUUACAAACAGAUUAUUUCACUUCUAAUUCACUGUAUCACAAUUCCAGUGGGUCAGAAGUUUACAAACACUAAUUUGACUGUGCCUUUAAACAGCUUUGAAAAUUCCAGAAAAUGAUGUCAUGGCUUUAGAAGCUUCUGAUAGGCUAAUUGACAUCAUUUGAGUCAAUUUGAAGUGUACCUGUGGAUAUAUUUCAAGGCCUCAAACUCAGUGCCUCUUUGUUUGACAUCAUGGGAAAAUCAAAAGAAAUAAGCCAAGACCUCAGCAAAAAAAUGCAGACCUCCACAUGUCUGGUUCAUCCUUGGGAGCAAUUUCCAAAUGCCUGAAUAUACCAAAUUCAUCUGUACAAACAAUAAUACACAAGUAUGAACACCAUGGGACCACACAGCCAUCCUUCCACUCAGGAAGGAGACGCGUUCUGUCUCCUAGAGAUGAACGUACUGUGGUGCAAAAAGUGCAAAUCAAUCCCAGAACAACAGCAAAGGACCUUGUGAAGAUGCUGGAGGAAACGGGUACAAAAGUAUCUAUAUCUACAGUAAAACGAGUCCUAUAUCGACAUAACCUGAAAGGCCGCUCAGCAAAGAAGAAGCCACUGCUCCAAAACCGCCAUAAAAAAGCCAGACUACGGUAUGCAACUGCAUAUGUGGACAAAGAUUGUACUUUUUGGAGAAAUGUCCUCUGGUCUGAUGAAACAAAAAUAGAACUGUUUGGCCAUAAUGACCAUCGUUAUGUUUGGAGGAAAAAGGGGGAGGCUUGCCAGCCGAAGAACACCAUCCCAACCCGUGAAGAACAGGGGUGGCAGCAUCAUGUUGUGGGGGUGCUUGUGGGGGUGCUUUGCUGCAGUAUAGACUGGUAUAGUCAGGAAGUUAAAGCUUGGUCGCAAAUGGGUCUUCCAAAUGGACAAUGACCCCAAGCAUACUUCCAAAGUUGUGGCAAAAUGGCUUAAGGACAACAAAGUCAAGGUAUUGAAGUGGUCAUCACAAAGCCCUGACCUCAAUCCUAUAGGACAUUUGUGGGCAGAACUCAAAAAGUUUGUGCGAGCAAGGAGGCCUACAAACCUGACUCAGUUACACCAGCUCUGUCAGGAGGAAUGGGCCAAAAUUCACCCAACUUAUUGUGGGAAGCUUGUGGAAGGCUACCCGAAACAUUUGACGCAACAAUUUAAAGGCAAUGCUACCAAAAACUUCUGACCCACUGGGAAUGUGAUGAAAGAAAUAAAAGGUGAAAUAAAUCACUCUCUACUAUUAUUCUGACAUUUCACAUUCUUCAAAUAAAGUGGUGAUCCUAACUGACCUAAGACAGAGAAUUUUUUACUAGGAUUACAUUUCAGGAAUUGUGAAAAGCUGAGUUGAAAUGUAGUUGGCUGAGGUGUAUGUAAACUUCCGACUUCAACUGUAGAUGUUUACCUCACUCAGGUUUCAACUCAGGUUGCAUGGCCUUAACUUAUGUAUGGAAUACUAUGUGAUAGGUGCGUGUGUAACAGUAUAUAAAGUAUGCUAAUGUGCUGGUGUGAAGGCAUUUGGGCAGUGGUGUAAAGUACUUAAGUAAAAAUACUUUAAAGUACUACUUAAGUUGUUUUAUGUGGUAUCUGUACAUUACUUUACUAAAUAUAUGUUUGGCAACUUUUACUUCACUACAUUCGUAAAGAAAAUAAUGUACUUUUUACUCCAUACGUUUUCCUUGACACCCAAAAGUACUUGUUACAUUUUGACAUGAAAAUUGUCCAUUUCAAACACUUCUCAAGAGAACAUCCCUGGUCAUCCCUACUGCCUCUGAUCUGGCAGACUCACUAAAUACAAAUGCUUCAUUUGUAAAUCAUGUGUGAGUGUUGGAGUGUGACCCUGGCUAUCUGUCAAUAAAAAUAAUACAAUUGUG